CACGUAGGCACCAAGCGUUGUCCGGAUUUAUUGGGCGUAAAGAGCUCGUAGGCGGUUCAGUAAGUCAGGUGUGAAAUCUUUGGGCUUAACCCAAAGCGUGCACUUGAUACUGCUGUGACUUGAGUUCGGUAGGGGAGUGGGGAAUUCCUAGUGUAGCGGUGAAAUGCGCAGAUAUUAGGAGGAACACCGGUGGCGAAGGCGCCACUCUGGGCCGAAACUGACACUGAGGAGCGAAAGCGUGGGGAGCGAACAGG
rnacentral:rRNA from 1 species